CCUACGGGGCGCAGCAGUGAGGAAUAUUGGUCAAUGGGCGAGAGCCUGAACCAGCCAAGUCGCGUGAAGGAUGACGGCCCUACGGGUUGUAAACUUCUUUUGUCAGGGAGCAAUUGGGUCCACGCGUGGGCUUAGCGAGAGUACCUGAAGAAAAAGCAUCGGCUAACUCCGUGCCAGCAGCCGCGGUAAUACGGAGGAUGCGAGCGUUAUCCGGAUUUACUGGGUGUAAAGGGAGCGUAGGCGGUAAGGCAAGUCUGAUGUGAAAGGCCAGGGCUCAACCCUGGGACUGCAUUGGAAACUGUUUAACUGGAGUGUCGGAGAGGCAAGUGGAAUUCCUAGUGUAGCGGUGAAAUGCGUAGAUAUUAGGAGGAACACCAGGGGCGAAGGCGGCUUGCUGGACGAUGACUGACGCUGAGGCUCGAAAGCGUGGGGAGCAAACAGGAUUAGAUACCCCGGUAGUC
rnacentral:rRNA from 1 species